UCUACUCUGGGCGGCAGAGACAGCAUGAUGAUAGCAUGCAGUUUACAAAUAACUAGCAGUUAGCACUUAUACAAGUAUCCUCCACCUAGUUUGCUAGUCCAAAGGACGUGUUCCCUUAAUCUAAAUGUUGUCGUUUUUGGGUGAAUGGGGGCAUCAGUCUUUCAGCCAACUUGAAGUUUGGACUUCUGACCACCUGAAAUUGCCCUCUUCUGUCAUGAGUAAAUUCUUGGGCAUGUGAACAGGACUGACUGAGCUUUGUCCUGCCUGCCUUCAUUACUGAUAGCUAGUUUGGUUUUUUCUUUUCUUGCAUCAACCCUCACACACAUGAGCUGUGGACAUUUUUGGUUCCUAUCUGCACACCAUCUCACCAUAGCUGCGGCAAAUGGACUUUUAGAGGGAGGAAGCUGCUCCUUUUUGGUGGAGCCCAAGCACCCAGAAAGGUUGUUGCUGACUUUCUUUUAUUUUCUUUAAUUGGAGAUUUGCAUUGGAUCAUUUACAAGCUAGGGAAUUGGCCACUUGUCAGACCUUAAACUUACACUCCAUUUUUCCGUCACUGAAACUUUGCUGCCAUCAGUGAUGUGCUUGUGCUAUUUUAAACAAAAUGUAAAACUUGAAUCAGUUGACUCUUGUCCACCAUCUGUGCACACAACAGGUAGGAACAACGUUGGCAUGAGAUCUCCUGUGCCACUAUGUCCCUUUUCAUGGGCUACAGUUUCUCAUAUCCUGGGCUUUGGAGACGGCUGAGAAGUAAUAACACUUCUAGCAAUCACUUGAACGAAGAAGACCAUCAAGGAAAAGGGAAGACAAGAUCCAUUAUUGUCCGGAGAAGAAGCAGGUGCCUCUCCCUAACAGAAAGAACAAUCAGAGGAAACAUGCACUUGCCUUCGGACUGCAGAAUUAAAGGCAUGCCCACAAUGGUCUCUUCCACAGGCCAAAAGAACAAAGACUACUGGAUACAGAUGCAGGAGAAAUUUAUAGUGGGGAGAGCUUCCUUGAGAAACCCUCAAAAGCCCCAAGAGCGUAUCCAGCAUGAAGCAGCAGCACCUUCUAUGAUGCUGAGAUUUGAAGAGGAUUAGCAACCCCACAUACACUUGUUCAUUGUAUUAAAAACCCAGAAAGAAAGUUUUCUAACCCAGGAGAGCAGUGUUUGCUUUAGGGCAGUGGUCCCCAACCUUGGGCCUCCAGAUGUUCUUGGCCUACAACUCCCAGAAGCCUUCAGCAACACCUCUGCUGGCCAGGAUUUCUGGGAGUUGAAGUCCAAGAACAUCUGGAGGCCCAAGGUUGGGGACCACUGCUUUAGGGUAAAGAAAAUCAAUUGGAAGUCCUCAUAAAGGAUGUUCAAGAUGGUGGCCAGACAACAGAGGUGUAGCAGAUUUUGGUGUCAGCAACCCACUGUGACCAGCAGAGAAGAAAAACAGUCUUCCAGUAAAUUAAUCAUAGUUGCUGGCUACAACCUAAUAAAGAACAGAUAGGUUGUUGUGGGUUUUCCGGG
rnacentral:lncRNA from 1 species